rnacentral:rRNA from 1 species
GAUGAACGCUGGCGGCGUGCUUAACACAUGCAAGUCGAACGGGAAUUAUUUUAUUGAAACUUCGGUCGAUUUAAUUUAAUUCUAGUGGCGGGCGGGGGAGUAACGCGUGGGUAACCUGCCUUAUACAGGGGGAUAACAGUCAGAAAUGGCUGCUAAUACCGCAUCAGCGCACAGAGCUGCAUGGCUCAGUGUGAAAAACUCCGGUGGUAUAAGAUGGACCCGCGUUGGAUUAGCUGGUUGGUGGGGUAACGGCCCACCAAGGCGACGAUCCAUAGCCGGCCUGAGAGGGUGAACGGCCACAUUGGGACUGAGACACGGCCCAGACUCCUACGGGAGGCAGCAGUGGGGAAUAUUGCACAAUGGGGGAAACCCUGAUGCAGCGACGCCGCGUGAAGGAAGAAGUAUCUCGGUAUGUAAACUUCUAUCAGCAGGGAAGAUAGUGACGGUACCUGACUAAGAAGCCCCGGCUAACUACGUG